rnacentral:rRNA from 1 species
CCUANGGGAGGCAGCAGUGGGGAAUAUUGGACAAUGGGCGCAAGCCUGAUCCAGCAAUACCGCGUGUGUGAAGAAGGCCUGAGGGUUGUAAAGCACUUUCAAUAGGGAGGAAAACCUGCCGGCGAAUACCCGGCAGCUUGACAUUACCUAUACAAGAAGCACCGGCUAACUCCGUGCCAGCAGCCGCGGUAAUACGGAGGGUGCAAGCGUUAAUCGGAAUUACUGGGCGUAAAGCGUGCGUAGGCGGUUAAUUAAGUCAGAUGUGAAAGCCCCGGGCUUAACCUGGGAACUGCAUUUGAUACUGGUUGACUAGAGUUUAGUAGAGGAGAGUGGAAUUUCAGGUGUAGCGGUGAAAUGCGUAGAUAUCUGAAGGAACACCAGUGGCGAAGGCGACUCUCUGGACUAAAACUGACGCUGAGGUACGAAAGCGUGGGUAGCAAACAGGAUUAGAUACCCCUNUANUC